ACGGUGGUCUCGACCCCUUGUCCCCUUCUCAGCUCUUUAGUCGGUCACUGCUCAGUGAUCAGUGUUGUGUACGAGAUGUAGGGUUGUGGAUCCGCUCAGUUGCUGCCAGCUAUACACGUGCCUUGCUCAAAGUUCCUAGACUAUAUCUUAUGAAGGCCGUGCCUUAAAAUGACAUGCAGCUCACAUUCCAUAAAGACGAACUCACGGUAGAAGACAGUCCUUAUGAAUCUGACAAGAUAAGCAACAUUUACCAGUCCAAUGGGGAACCGCUCCACCAAAACGAGGAGGAAGAGCUACCCGACCCAGAGCCAUGCUCAGACCCCCAAGACGAGGAGGAGGAGGAGGAGCUUCCCGCCCCAGACCGACAAGAAGGGCUCCAAACACAUGAAUUCAGUUUAGAGGAUGAGGCAGCGGCAGUCCUGCCAUAUCGUGACAUCUAUACUUGCUCAGAGAUCCUUGACCAAAAGCUUCUGACACAGCCCUGGGAGUCCCCAGAGUAUGCCAAGGAACUGCUCGGCAUCCAGCCAGAUGAGUCCGGCAAGGCCCUCUAGGAAAUGAAGGGGUAGCUGCUAAUGGAAACCAAGAAAUGACAUCACUCUGGACAGUUGCCUCUUUCUUCACAUUUUUUUCUAAUGCAUUCCAGUGGUAUACAUAUAAGCAGAGCUGGGCGCGUUACUGGAUAUCGGGUAGUCCGGUACCGCUCCUCCGCACCUCGAAACACAUAUAGUCCGUACCUGUACUUCCGCCUAAA